rnacentral:rRNA from 1 species
GACAGAGGAUGCAAGCGUUAUCCAGAAUGAUUAGGCGUAAAGCGCCUGUAGGUGGCUUUUUAAGUCCGCCGUUAAAUCCUAGGGCUCAACCCUGGACAGGCGGUGGAAACUACCAAGCUGGAGUGCGGUAGGGGUAGAGGGAAUUUCCGGUGGAGCGGUGAAAUGCGUAGAGAUCGGAAAGAACACCAACGGCGAAAGCACUCUGCUGGGCCGACACUGACACUAAGAGACGAAAGCUAGGGGAACGAAUGGG